AUAACCUUACAUCUAUGAAAUUGUUUUCACACUAUAAAGCUAACAAAUGAUUCCUAUUUCUAGAUUCAUAAAGGAAAAAAUAUGGUUAAAGUUUAUAUGUUUAUUUUUGCAACGAUUAUCUUUUUUUCCAUAUUUAUUUCUAUAACAAGUGCUGCGUGCCAAAAUAAUGCGGAUUGUCAAGAUUAUGAGUGUAUCGAAGCUGACGAUAGUCCAGUCUGCGGGUUUUGGGUUUCAGAGCCCGAAUUUAUAAGGCCCAAAUUUGGGAUUUGUGCAUGUCUCGGGAUGCUCACAAAGAAGCCAUAAAAGUUAAUUAUAAAAAAAUAAAAUUAUGUUGCUGCUCGUAUGAUUUGUUUCACACUUAUAUUUAUUUUAGUAAAUGAUAAUCCCCUCUGUUGAAGGAAGUUUGAAUAAUAUUUUUCUCUUUUGUUAUGUUAAAAUAAACACUUUUGUCCACUUUAAUAAAAUUAUUUCAAGUUACCAUUUAAGAAAUUAAUAUUCUUUGUUUAUAAUUUUUUUCUCAUUACUUUUAUGAUUUUAGAAUAUAAAAUGUAAUUUGAAGUAUUUUUUUAAAUUUGGCUUUAAUAAUUUAUUCAAAUAUUUUAUGUUGUAAAAAUUCAUAAUUUAUGACAUCGAUAGUUUAAAAUUAUAUAUUAAUGACGUGAAUAAAAAAUAUGAAAAUAGGGAGGCUCAACUAGAGUUUCGCCUUAGCAGAGCUUCGUUAUUCUUCAUAUAUAACAAUCGUCACAAUCUUUUCGCUGAUCAUGAUGAAACUGUGCCAUUCAACAUGGCAAUUCAAGGGUAAUGGGACGUGAUUUGCUUUAGUGGCACAAAUUGUAAUUUUGAAGGAUAUAUAAAUAACAGCUUUUCAUUAACCUAGAAGAUAUCACCUCUUGGAGAGAAAAUAUGCAUCACGUUCCAGCAUCACAGAGAAGAUGAGAUUUCAAGGCCCAUGGUGAUUUUUAUCGAUUAUUCAUGUAUAAUUUUUUUAACUUUUUUGUUAUGCCAAUUAUCGUUAUUAUGCUUAUCAGAUUAGAGAUUUUAGAUGAUUUUCUGUAUUUGAAGUUUGCACCAUGUUCGUAUUUAUGCAAUCAAAACUA